rnacentral:rRNA from 1 species
GUGGGGAAUAUUGGACAAUGGGGGCAACCCUGAUCCAGCCAUGCCGCGUGUGUGAAGAAGGCCUUAUGGUUGUAAAGCACUUUAAGCGAGGAGGAGGGUACCUUGACUAAUAAUUGGGGAUACUGGACGUUACUCGCAGAAUAAGCACCGGCUAACUCUGUGCCAGCAGCCGCGGUAAUACAGAGGGUGCGAGCGUUAAUCGGAAUUACUGGGCGUAAAGCGCGCGUAGGCGGCUAAUUAAGUCGGAUGUGAAAUCCCCGAGCUCAACUUGGGAAUUGCAUACGAUACUGGUUAGCUAGAGUAUGGGAGAGGAAGGUAGAAUUCCAGGUGUAGCGGUGAAAUGCGUAGAGAUCUGGAGGAAUACCGAUGGCGAAGGCAGCCUUCUGGCCUAAUACUGACGCUGAGGUGCGAAAGCAUGGGGAGCAAACAGG